rnacentral:rRNA from 1 species
UACGUAGGCAGCGAGCGUUGUUCGGAAUUACUGGGCGUAAAGAGCGUGUAGGCGGCUUGUUAAGUCUUGCGUGAAAUCUCGGGGCUCAACCCCGAGCGGUCGUGAGAAACUGGCAGGCUAGAGUGCGGGAGAGGAGAGUGGAAUUCCUAGUGUAGCGGUGAAAUGCGCAGAUAUCAGGAAGAACACCCGUGGCGAAAGCGGCUCUCUGGGAAACGG